rnacentral:rRNA from 1 species
AACGAACGCUGGCGGCAGGCUUAACACAUGCAAGUCGAACGCCCCGCAAGGGGAGUGGCAGACGGGUGAGUAACGCGUGGGAACAUACCCUUUUCUACGGAAUAGCUCUGGGAAACUGGAAUUAAUACCGUAUACGCCCUACGGGGGAAAGAUUUAUCGGGGAAGGAUUCGCCCGCGUUGGAUUAGCUAGUUGGUGGGGUAAAGGCCUACCAAGGCGACGAUCCAUAGCUGGUCUGAGAGGAUGAUCAGCCACAUUGGGACUGAGACACGGCCCAAACUCCUACGGGAGGCAGCAGUGGGGAAUAUUGGACAAUGGGCGCAAGCCUGAUCCAGCCAUGCCGCGUGAGUGAUGAAGGCCUUAGGGUUGUAAAGCUCUUUCACCGAUGAAGAUAAUGACGGUAGUCGGAGAAGAAGCCCCGGCUAACUUCGUG